rnacentral:lncRNA from 10 species
AGCCAUACUAGAAGCUUUUAAGUUCUAUCUUUGAGGCCUUCCUAAUAGAUCACAGCUGAAAUUCCCCAUAAAGCCAUUCUAAGAAAAAGCACAAGCAUAAUAACCCUUUAUUCCCCAGAAAAGGAAGUUGGCUUAUUUUCAAGACUAUAUCACACCUCUAGUACCUUCUUUCCCUCUUUCAUCCCCAUUAAAACAUACCAGCUUUGUGUCUCCUUCUCUCUGAACCUUGCUCUGACAAACAUUUACUGUGCAUUACUAUCUCAACUAACUACUUUACCCUACAGGAGUGAACAUUUCCACAUUGUAAUAGGAGUUUCAGGAGGAAAGAAUGUCUUACUCCGAAGAACUGACUUUAGUAAUGACAG